UCUGAAUCUGCGUACGGCUCCGCAAACCAGUUGUAAACUAUAGCAAGCUCUCCUAUGGUCGCCCCUUCACGGGGGGGGUCUGGGAAAUAGGGAUAACCCUGGUAAUUCUGAGGCUAAUACCACCACGUAAAACCUGGCUGACUGGGCAACCGGAAGGCUGGGGGGCGUGCAAUUUUUUCGCGAGGUUUACCGGGAAGGGACGCACGUCUGGACCGCGCAAAACGGAUGACUGGGCCUUCGGGACUGGGCUUCUAGCGGCUCUUGCUGUGUGCUUCUGACCUAUCAACUAGAUGGCAGCGUAAGGGACAUGCUAUGGU
rnacentral:rRNA from 1 species